GGGGUCUGGGUGACCCAUCCUAUCCUGGCGGAGAUUACUGUGGCGUCUACGGGAGGAUUGGGCUCCCUGAUCCGACUGAAUUGUUCGCCGGAAUAGCAUACCCGCCAUGGUUCGACCUGCGCGCGUGGGCAGCAUCCUUCACACCUCUGACGUUGGUGAGAAUCCCCUCAUAGUACUUGCCUCGCUCUUUGGAUCGCAGGAGGCCUUUCGAGUUGAAGUUUAGGGUCCUGGGGUGCCAGAUCAUGUGUCACCGGUGGGGUCUCCGCCGUGGGAUCCUGGCGGCGUGGCCGUGUUCGUCCGUCGGGGGUAGAAGACAACUCUUGAACCGUUGAUCUCCCGUUUAAUUGCUAGGAUUAGAAUAUCAUACCAUUUCGUCCCCACUAAAUAGCAGCCAUUGAUCGAUAGAUGGAGGGGUGGGAGGUGAUCCUGGCGUUUCAAAUCUAGGGCAUUGAUCUCAGAUCCUAGGGCCUGGAUUGAACACCGGUUCACUUAAAAGCAGAUCUAAUCUGGGCCAUAGUCUUUAAAUCCAAUGGCUCUGGGCGCCUCAUGCCCCUUUGGUUUGGUGCAUUUGCAAAAGAGCCCUCAGAUUUUGUAGAAAAUAACCCGCGGUCCACUGCGGGAGUAGACUGAGCCUAGGAUAGUUUUCAUGUUAGCCCCUGCAUUUCUAUUUAAUUGAGGCGCAGUCCAGUGAAUAAGAAAAAUAGAGAAAUUGAAUUAGAAAUUGAAUUUUUAAUAUAAAAACAAUUCCCAAAACUUGAUUAAUUCAUAUAAAAUUCAUUUGAAGUCCAAAUUAAUCCAUUCCAAUUUCUAUAAUUUUGUAAUAUUAUGCUUUAUCAUCUAGUACCACUGUUUUCACAUGAAAGUCACCUUAAAAUUUAUAUCCUAUUUAAUCUUGUACAAAACACACAAAAUCAUUAGAAAUUCAUAACUUAAAAUCUAUGAUUCCGAUUUGAUCCGUUCAAGUUGUGUUAGUCUCGUACGAAUAUUUACUAUGCAAUAACAACAUUUAUUAUAUCAUGUCUCAUUAUUUUAUAAUUAGAUCUGUAUUUAACUUAUGUUGGUUAGUGUGGUUAAACUGCUUAUCAUUAUAGACUACUAGAAUAUGAUCUAUGUUCAAUUUAUAACUUUGUAAAGGUCUCGUAGUGGAUCCCUAGCCAUUCACCUCGGUAGUGUCUUGUUACACCCUAAAAUUCUAAUUAGGGAUUUAACUUGAAGUCACAUCUCCUUGAAUGAGUGAUUUCUGAUAAAGACUUUGUAAAAGCAUCCCUAUAUGAAUUCCCUUGUUCAAAUACUCUCGAAAGGAUUUUAUAUACUAGAAUAUUUUUUUCGUGACAUACCUAUUUUUGGGUGUAGGAAUUUCAUAUUUUAAACAAUGCUUUUACCUAACUAGGAUGAUAAUAAAUAAAUAAAUUUAUUAAUAUUCUUUCAUCCAUGUAGGAGUUUUUGUGUGAGCAUUUAAUUUAGUUGGAGUUGAACUGCAUUCAAAUUUAAUUCGAAAAUUGAAACUGAAUCUAUUUUGAAAUAGAAAGAAUUAAGUAGAAAAGAAAACGUAAAUUAAAAACCUAGAUUUAAAAGCAUAAUAGAAAAAAAUGAUAAAGGAAUAACAAACCUGACAGCCAAAUUGAGUCUAUCCGACGUGAGCCUCUCGGCUCCAUCAUGCAUGUGUGCGCGCCGGCUAUCAUCACUGCCGAUGGGGCCCACUCUCCAGCUACCGCAUGGGCACCCCUCCGCAUGUGCAUGUCAUUCUCCACAGGUCAGCGGUGAACCACACAACCUUUCCCUUUGUUUAUUCAUUUCAGUGUUUUCAGCCCAUCGUGCCCACGUGCUCGUACCGCUUACAUGUGGGCCCUGAUGGCCAGCAUCGCUGUCUCGUGUGUUCACGGGCCGCUUGGUGUUUCACCGCCAUGUGGGGACAAGUCCACAGAAGCUUCCUCUAUCCUCUGCCCAGCGGGACAUUUCCAUGUUCUUUCUGUUUUGGACGCCGCAACAGAAUGCCGAUCUCCCGCCUGAAAUCUCGUCGACUCUUUCUUGUUCUUGCACGAAUUUCGGUUGCCAUCUUCUCCUUCUCCUCAACAUCGGUGGACUGCAACAAACUCCCAUCGCUAGCGUCGUAGAUUCCGCUCGGACUCCUGUGCUCAAGGCUAUAAAAAGGGAGCGCACAGCCACUCAAGCCGAGGCGGUGCUGCGCUCGGGGAGGCAGUCCAGCGUGGGGUGCUCGCGCAUAUAGCUGAAGCCCUACUACUCCCCUUCCACCGUCAAAUCGAAGCCAUAACCAGGCCGUUGGGUGCCUCGCCGAACGCCAGUCGAGGGUUUUGGGUGCUCACGCGGCCGCCAUGGAUUCAACCCAGCUGCGCGGUCGUUCGGACCGCGUAUGGUGGUCGGAGUGUGUAAUUGAAGAACGAUGGAGCAUGUGGUGCCCUCGGCGGGUGCGAUUGGUGGGCACGGGGCGAUCAAUUUCUCACCGGCCACGAUGACCGCGGCGGACCGUGCAUUGCCGUGGGCGGGGCUCUUUGCACCUCGAUUCUAGGUAAGGAAGCCCUAGACCAAUUCGCCUUCGUCCCCGCUUCGUUUACCGACCCUUGGUUUGUGGAUUUGCGCUCGGAUCGGCGGGCGGCCGUGCGCCAGUAAUGGCGCCGCCGUAGGCUUGCUCACGCCGUCUUCCGCGUCUGGGUUGGGGAGACAAUUGCCCGACCGUUGGAUGGCCAGUGUGUGGCGUUGAUCUUAGGGAAUUCGGUUUCGGGGCGGGUUAGUCCAAGCCGUAGAUCCUCAACUGGGCGGUUACCGUGCGAUCCACGCGACUUAAGAACCGUAGCUAUUCGAUCCAAAUCCAAGGGCCUGCAUAGCACCACGUUCAGAUAGUUGCAGAUCUAAUCCAGACCUUGGAUUGCCAAUUGUGCGGCCAGGAUCGACGGAUACCUCUUCAGCCCGACUUGUAUGCAGAAAAGCCCCUCAGUUUUCAGUGAAUCAACCCGCAUUCUAUCUCGGGUUUGCACUGAGUCUUGGGAAGUUUGUAAUCUAGCCCCUGGCCUUAUAUGUAUUAAUGCGCGCAGUCCAGAGCUAAGGGAAAUAGCAAAAUAAAUAUAGAAAGUGGAUUUUUAAUGUAAAAAUAAUUCCAGAAUCUGGUUUAAUCUCUAGAAAUUUCAUUUUGCCUCUUUUUAAUCCAUUCCAGUUGCAUUAAUUUUGUAUCAACAUUGUUUACCACCUAGUAACUCUGUAGACAAGAAACCUAGAUUAAAAUUAUCUACUUAAUUUAUCCCAUACCAAACACUUAGAAACUUCAAAAAUUCAUAACUUCUUUGUUUUGAUUCUGAAUUGAACCGUUCCAGUUGCGUUAGCUCCGUAUAAGUAUUUACUACUCAGUAACAACAUUAAUUAUACCAUGUCGCAUACUUUUAUACAUGAAACCUAGAUUAAUUAAUUGUUCGCGAACCCACGACCUUGUAGCAUCGCGUAGAAUAUUCUUACGUUGUUUGUUCUCAUGUUUGGUGUACUAUUAUUUUUAUAUGAUCCUUGCCUAUUUGUAUGUAUUGCUACGAAUAGUGGUGAGGUCACGAGAAUCUGAAGAGCAAGUUGGUACCUGGAAUCUCAAGUCCCAGGCAAGUUGUGCCCUUGAUCACUUCUUUUUACCCAGUCAUGUUCUGAUUAAUCAUAAUGAUCUGCAUAGGUUAAUUUUGAUGGGACCCAACAGGUUACCCUAGUUUGAUUAUCUUUAUACCUUGACUCCACUAAACUUUUUGGGUAGUACCUGCUAUUGCUUUAUGUGGUUUUGGGUAUGAAGAUUACACUAUUCAUGAUUAUACUUUUGUUAUCAGUUGUUAUUUAUUGUUCAUGUUAAGAUCAUUAUGUUAAUUGGAACAUGGAGAACCACCCGGGAAAACAGUGCUAGCAAAGGGUUUAUGGACGCCCUUGGCUGAUUAACUAGGAAAGCUAGUCGAUGAUUACCUUACCCGAAAGGGGCAAGGGCAGUGGUCAGUGUAGGGAGGUCCUUGGUUGAUUUUGCUGUGAUGGCGGUCAGUCGAGGGACUCCUGCACUGGAGCUUCCUAUAAACUGUAGCGGGUUUUCUGAAGCUAGUGGAACUUUGUAAAGACCUCGUAGUGUUACCCUGCCUCGCCUCCUCGGUAGAGGUGUAUGGGAUUGGCCGUCUCUUGGCAGAUGGGUAACAUGACUUGUGGGCAAAGAUGCGCAACCUCUACAGAGUGUAAAACUAGUAUACUAGUCGUGCUCACGGUCAUGAGCAGCUCGGACACUCACAUGAUUAAAUUAUGGAACUUAAACUCAAUUUGUCAUAUGCAUUGCAUCGCAGGUGAGGUUGUUACUUUUGUUCUACUACUUAAUUGGGUUGGUAUUUACUUAUACUUAGUAAUUGCUAAUAAAAUUUUGACCAACUUUAAAAGCAAUGAUCAGCUCUAACCAUCCUCUUUGGUAAGCCUUACACUUCACGUGAGCUCCCACCUUUGGCGAGUUCAUGCACAUUAUUCCCCACAACUUGUUGAGCGAUGAACGUAUGUGAGCUCACUCUUGCUGUCUCACACCCCCACAUGUCAAGAACAGGUACCACAGGAUGAGGCGCUUGGAGGAUGCUGUGAUGUGUUCGUGAGAGGUCUAGGUCGUCGUCUCCCAGUCAACUUUGGUUGCUGGACCGUUGUCUCCUUAUAAUGUAAAUAUAUAUUUAUUUAUUUUGUACAGAACUCCGAUUAUAUAGUAAAGAUGUGACAUUCGAUCCUGUGCCAUGAUUCAUCAUAUGUGUGAGACUUGGUCCCAGCACACCUGGUGAUUAUGUUCGCGCCCGGGUCUUGGUGCCCCGAAAUCCGGGUGUGACAGAAGUGGUAUCAGAGGAAUGUUGACUGUAGGACGAAACCUAGACAGAAAUGGAUAACCAGUACCUACUUACCUUUGCUACUCUGAUUCUUUCUAAACUUUUCUUAAUCUUUCUCAUCUAUUUCCGCUUUACUCUGAUUAUUCUUAUCUUUUCUUUCUAAAAGACAAAAGUGGAUUUCACACUUUGAAAUCCUGUGCCUAAAGUGACUUUUAGGAAUAGGAGACCUAAUCUUAGGAACAAAAACAAAACUAUUUUUGUAGGUAACUAUACGCUUGAUUGUUUGUUCUUAUGAUACUUGUCUGAUUUGGAUCUUUGAUUGAGUGUGAUGGGUUGUGGAGUAAUGUUCACAAUUGCAUCUGCAUAUACACCUAGACAUAAGGGAAAAUAUUUAUAAAAUAGACAACACAUUCCCCAUUAAAAACGUAUCUAGUUUAAUAGAUCCAUCUUAUCUUAAAAGAUUCUCUCUUAUCUUAAUAGAUGCAUCUUAUCUUGAAAGAUUUGUCUUACCCUAAUCACUUUACUUAACUCAUCCUAACAAAACAACCGGGACCUAAUCCAACAUAAUGAGAUCUUAACUAGUUUAAUCAAUUCGUACCAACCUAAUCUAGAUUCUAUCUAAUCUAUUAUGAUCUAAUCUAGAGUAAGUUACUUAAUGCUGGUACAAAGGAUAAAGCCAUACUCCAAAUCCACUUAAGCUUAAAUUGGUGACCUAAAUCAACUUGGCCAUACCCAACAACUUGACCUACAUAACAGAUCUAUCUUAGCCUCUUGUCCCAAACCCGGAUGGAGACACCAAAGAGCAAGACUGGAAAAGGACAAGAUCAACCUCGUCAAGGAAGGAUAAGAGUCAAGCCAAAUCUGGUCUUCAGCCCCAACCCAAGCCUUCAAAGAUCAAGCUAGAUCAUCAGAUGAAUCAAGAUCCACAAAUCUUGGAUGGAGUCUUUCCUUACCACACUCUUCUUACCCAAACCUAACUAUGCUUUAAAGGCAUCUUUUAUCGUACAUGAUAAAGUGGAUAUACAUAUAUAUACCCAUGCCUUCAUAAUCACCUGCUAAUUUGUGUUAUAAACUUGAACAAAAUAAAUUCUUUUGGUAUUAAAACCACUUAGAAACUGAAACAUAAAUUUAUAUACCAAUCCUUCUGUAUCCCUUUUCUUACAAAUCUCGAGGGCAACAUUUCUGUUAAGGGGGGUAGGAUUUGUUACACCCUAAAAUUCUAACUAGGGAUUUAACUUCAAGUCACAUCUCCUUGAAUGAGUGAUUUCUGAUAAAGACUUUGUAAAAGCAUCCCUAUAUGAAUUCCCUUGUUGAAAUACUCUCGAAAGGAUUUUAUAUACUAGAAUAUUUUUUCGUGACAUACCUAUCUUUGGGUGUAGGAAUUUCAUAUUUUAAACAAUGCUUUUACCUAACUAGGAUGAUAAUAAAUAAAUAAAUUUAUUAAUAUUCUUUCAUCCAUGUAGGAGUUUUUGUGUGAGCAUUUAAUUUAGUUGGAGUUGAACUGCAUUCAAAUUUAAUUCAAAAAUUGAAACUGAAUCUAUUUUGAAAUAGAAAGAAUUAAGUAGAAAAGAAAACGGAAACUAAAAACCUAGAUUUAAAAGCAUAAUAGAAAAAAAUGAUAAAGGAAUAACAAACCUGACAGCCAAAUUGAGUCUAUCCGACGUGAGCCUCUCGCCUCCAUCAUGCAUGUGUGCGCGCCGGCUAUCAUCACUGCCGAUGGGGCCCGCUCUCCAGCUACCGCAUGGGCACCCCUCCGCAUGUGCAUGUCAUUCUCCACAGGUCAGCGGCGAACCACACAACCUUUCCCUUUGUUUAUUCAUUUCAGCGUUUUCAGCCCAUCGUGCCCACGUGCUCGUACCGCUUACAUGUGGGCCCUGAUGGCCAGCAUCGCUGUCUCGUGUGUUCACGGGCCGCUUGGUGUUUCACCGCCAUGUGGGGACAAGUCCACAGAAGCUUCCUCUAUCCUCUGCCCAGCGGGACAUUUCCCUGUUCCCUCUGUUUUGGACGUCGCAACAGAACGCUGAUCUCCCGCCUGAAAUCUCGUCGACUCUUUCUUGUUCUUGCACGGAUUUCGGUUGCCAUCAUCUCCUUCUCCUCAAGAUCGGCGGACUGAAACAAACUCCCAUCGCUGGCGUCGUAGAUUCUGCUCGGACUCCUGUUCUCAAGGCUAUAAAAAGGGAGCGCGUAGCCACUCAAGCCGAGGCGGUGCUGCGCUUGAGGAGGCAGCCCAACGUGGGGUGCUCGCGCAUAUAGCUGAAGCCCUACUACUCCCCUUCCACCAUCAAAUUGAAGCCAUAACCAGGCCGUUAGGUGCCUCGCCGAACGCCAGUGGAGGGUUUUGGGUGCUCGCGCGACCGCCAUGGAUUCAACCCAGUUGCGCGGUCGUUCGGACCGCGUAUGGUGGUCGGAGUGUGUAAUUGAAGAACGCUGGAGUAUGUGGUGCCCUCGACGGGUGCGAUUGGUGGGCACGGGGCGAUCAAUUUCUCACCGGCCACGAUGACCGCGGCGGACCAUGCAUUGCCGUGGCCGGGGCUCUUUGCACCUCGAUUCUAGGUAAGGAAGCCCUAGACCAAUUCGCCUUCGUCCCCGCUCCGUUUACUGACCCUUGGUUUGUGGAUUUGCGCUCGGAUCGGCGGGCGGCCGUGCGCCGGUAAUGGUGCCGCCGUAGGCUUGCUCACGCCGUCGUCCGCGUCUGGGUUGGGGAGAUAAUUGCCCGACCAUUGGAUGGCCAGUGUGUGGCGUUGAUCAUAUGGGAAUUCGGUUUCAGGGCGGGUUAGUCCAAGCCGUAGAUCCUCAACUGGGCGGUUACCGUGCGAUCCACGCGACUUAAGAACCAUAGCUAUUCGAUCCAAAUCCAAGGGCCUGCGUAGCACCACGUUCAGAUAGUUGCAGAUCUAAUCCAGACCUUGGAUUGCCAAUUGUGCGGCCAGGAUCGACGGAUACCUCUUCAGCCCGACCUGUAUGCAGAAAAGCCCCUCAGUUUUCAGUGAAUCAACCUGCAUUCUAUCUCGGGUUUGCACUGAGUCUUGGGAAGUUUGUAAUCUAGCCCUUGGCCUUAUAUGUAUUAAUGCGCGUAGUCCAGAGCUAAGGGAAAUAGCAAAAUAAAUAUAGAAAGUGGAUUUUUAAUGUAAAAAUAAUUCCAGAAUCUGGUUUAAUCUCUAGAAAUUUCAUUUUUGCCUCUUUUUAAUCCAUUCCUGUUGCAUUAAUUUUGUAUCAACAUUGUUUACCACCUAGUAACUCUGUAGACAAGAAACCUAGAUUAAAAUUAUCUACUUAAUUUAUCCCAUACCAAGCACUUAGAAACUUCAAAAAUUCAUAACUUCUUUGUUUUGAUUCCGAAUUGAACCGUUCCAGUUGCGUUAGCUCCGUAUAAGUAUUUACUACUCAGUAACAACAUUAAUUAUACCAUGUCGCAUACUUUUAUACAUGAAACCUAGAUUAAUUAAUUGUUUGCGAACCCACGACCUUGUAGCAUCGCGUAGAAUAUUCUUACGCUGUUUGUUCUCAUGUUUGGUGUACUGUUAUUUUUAUAUGAUCCUUGCCUAUUUGUAUGUAUUGCUACGAAUAGCGGUGAGGUCACAAGAAUCUGAAGAGCAUGUUGGUACCUGGAAUCUCAAGUCCCAGGCAAGUUGUGCCCUUGAUCACUUCUUUUUACCCAGUCAUGUUCUGAUUAAUCAUAAUGAUCUGCAUAGGUUAAUUUUGAUGGGACCCAACAGGUUACCCUAGUUUGAUUAUCUUUAUACCUUGACUCCACUAAACUUUUUGGGUAGUACCUGCUAUUGCUUUAUGUGGUUUUGGGUAUGAAGAUUACACUAUUCAUGAUUAUACUUUUGUUAUCAGUUGUUAUUUAUUGUUCAUGUUAAGAUCAUUAUGUUAAUUGGAACAUGGAGAACCACCCGGGAAAAUAGUGCUACCACAAGGCUUUAUGGACGCCCUUGGCUGAUUAACUAGGAAAGCUAGUGGAUGAUUACCUUACCCGAAAGGGGCAAGGGCAGUAGGGGAGUGGUCAGUGUAGGGAGGUCCUUGGUUGAUUUUGCUGCGAUGGCGGUCAGUCGAGGGACUCCUACACUGGAGCUUCCUAUAAACUGUAGCGGGUUUUCUGAAGCUAGUGGAACUUUGUAAAGGCCUCGUAGUGUUACCCUGCCUCGCCUCCUCGGUAGAGGUGUAUGGGAUUGGCCGUCUCUUGGCAGAUGGGUAACAUGACUUGUGGGUAAAGAUGCGCAACCUCUGCAGAGUGUAAAACUAGUAUACUAGCUGUGCUCACGGUCAUGAGCAGCUCGGACACUCACAUGAUUAAAUUAUGGAACUUAAACUCAAUUUGUCAUAUGCAUUGCAUCGCAGGUGAGGUUGUUACUUUUGUUCUACUACUUAAUUGGGUUGGUAUUUACUUAUACUUAGUAAUUGCUAAUAAAACUUUGACCAACUUUAAAAGCAAUGCUCAGCUCUAACCAUCCUCUUUGGUAAGCCUUACACUUCACGUGAGCUCCCACAUUUGGCGAGUUCAUGCACAUUAUUCCCCACAACUUGUUGAGCGAUGAACGUAUGUGAGCUCACUCUUGUUGUCUCAUACCCCCACAUGUCAAGAACAGGUACCACAGGAUGAGGCGCUUGGAGGAUGUUGUGAUGUGUUCGUGAGAGGUCUAGGUCGUCGUCUCCCAGUCAACUUUGGUUGCUGGACCGUUGUCUCCUUAUAAUGUAAAUAUAUAUUUAUUUAUUUUGUACAGAACUCCGAUUAUAUAGUAAAGAUGUGAC
rnacentral:lncRNA from 1 species